rnacentral:lncRNA from 1 species
AUGGCAGGGGCUGGGGAGGACCGGGGGUGCUCCCUGGGAACAGAGGAGCAGGGGGGGCUGGAAAGGGGGCGGAGACCUCACAAAAGAGGCCAAAGGCCUGAGUCACCAGCCCCAGCUUCUGUCUGCUACACCCGUCCCCGUGGCAUGCGUGGCGCCGGCUUUGGUGGGAAGCAUUUCUUCCCCUCUGUCCCUGGGGAUGCUACCUGCUGCAGAGGGUCCGUGGGAGACAGAGGCUCUGGUCCUGAACGCCCACCCUUCUUCCUCGGGCUCCGACCAGCUGGAGUCUGGCCUCUUCGGGGAGACCCACCUUUGCCCAGCGCCUGCGUCACUCAUUCCCGGCCUCCGCCCUCUGUGCAAAUGUACCCGAUGGGGCUCCUUCUGCCUCAUAUCUUCAUUCCAUUUCUCUCCAUUUGUCCUGGUCUCUCAACUCCACCCCCUCCACGCCACAAUGUCAAUAAUGUCCAUUCUGUCCUUCAAAGGGAUGAGGUGUAGCAAGGCAGCCUCAACCCCUCCCGGAGACAUUCCUCCUUCCACUUUCUGAAACGCAGGCUGCCCGCAUGGUCGCCUUCCCCCCUCUCCUCCGCCAGCUCCUGCCAGGCCCUUCCGGGCUCCCCCAGCCUCCGGAGCUCAGGAAAUGGUGCCGGGCAGUGGCCAGGGCUGGCUCUCGCACAAUGGCUGUAUUUAGCCCCCAAAUGAGAUCCCAUCAUGUCACUACCCGCUGCCGCGGAGCAGAGAUCGGAGACUCUGAAACAGGUCUGGGGUCAGACGCUCCAGAGGAGGGCCCGGGAGGAAAGCAGGAAGGGGCUCUAAGAAGUCGUGUUAUCUUCUUGUCUCUGGAUUGAAUGGUUUCCCCACCAGCGCGCACCAUCAGCGUCUCCUGCCCCUGCUCGGAGAGGGGUCCGUCCACUGACCACACGAGUCACCGGUACUCUGUGGGGCACACCGGGGUGCAGGGACAGGAGCUCACAGGGAGAGAGAGAUCUCCGUUAUUCAAAAGUCUGAGACCGGGACGUCUGGAGAGCUCGCUGGCAGGUGCGCAGUAACACAGCACAACAGGGACUUGUGGCCAUGGACGCCCUCGGAUGGAGAGGACGGGCCAUAGCCAGCGUCCGGGGCGAGAAGGGCCAGCGGAGCCUGGGGGAGAAGCGGGGGCAGAGUGCUCUGGUCUCAGGGGCAGCGGCUAGUGGACUCUGUGGGCCAGAUCUGUUCUGCUAUCUUUCUUAAAUGGCUGGGGGGAAAAAUCCAAAGAAGAACACUACUUUGUGACACAUAAAAGUUCUAUGAAAUUCAGAUUUCAGUGAGCAUAAAUAAAGGCUAUUUUGAACACGGCCCGCUCGUUCACUUACAUAUGGUCUGCGUCUGGGUCGGCCUUACGGCAGCAAAGUUGUAGCUGCGGCACAGACCGUCUGGCCCACAAGGCCUAAAAUAGUAUCUGGAUCUUUACAGAAAAAGUUUGCAGACUCCUGAUCUAGA